rnacentral:rRNA from 1 species
UACAGAGGAGGCAAGCGUUGUUCGGAAUUACUGGGCGUAAAGGGCGCGUAGGCGGCCUUCUAAGUCGAACGUGAAAUCCCCGGGCUCAACCCGGGAACUGCGUCCGAUACUGGAAGGCUUGAAUCCGGGAGAGGGAUGCGGAAUUCCAGGUGUAGCGGUGAAAUGCGUAGAUAUCUGGAGGAACACCGGUGGCGAAGGCGGCAUCCUGGACCGGUAUUGACGCUGAGGCGCGAAAGCCAGGGGAGCAAACGGG